rnacentral:rRNA from 1 species
AUACGGAGGAUGCAAGCGUUAUCCGGAUUUAUUGGGUUUAAAGGGUGCGUAGGCGGUUUGCUAAGCGGGAGGUGAAAUGCCGGCGCUCAACGUCGGAAGUGCCUCCCGAACUGGUGGACUUGAAUGACUCUGCCGUGGGAGGAAUGUGUAGUGUAGCGGUGAAAUGCUUAGAGAUUACACAGAACACCGAUUGCGAAGGCAUCUCACGAAGGGUUGAUUGACGCUGAGGCACGAGAGCGUGGGGAUCAAACAGGAUUAGAUACCCUGGUAGUCCACGCAGUAAACGAUGAUGGCUAACCGCUGGUUUAUUCGGAUCAGUGGCCAAGCGAAAGCGAUAAGCCAUCCACCUGGGGAGUACGACCGCAAGGUUGAAACUCAAAUGAAUUGGCGGGG